rnacentral:rRNA from 1 species
AGAGUUUGAUCCUGGCUCAGGACGAACGCUGGCGGCGUGCCUAAUACAUGCAAGUAGAACGCUGAAGGAGGAGCUUGCUUCUCUGGAUGAGUUGCGAACGGGUGAGUAACGCGUAGGUAACCUGCCUGGUAGCGGGGGAUAACUAUUGGAAACGAUAGCUAAUACCGCAUAAGAGUGGAUGUUGCAUGACAUUUGCUUAAAAGGUGCACUUGCAUCACUACCAGAUGGACCUGCGUUGUAUUAGCUAGUUGGUGGGGUAAGGGCUCACCAAGGCGACGAUACAUAGCCGACCUGAGAGGGUGAUCGGCCACACUGGGACUGAGACACGGCCCAGGCUCCUACGGGAGGCAGCAGUAGGGAAUCUUCGGCAAUGGACGGAAGUCUGACCGAGCAACGCCGCGUGAGUGAAGAAGGUUUUCGGAUCGUAAAGCUCUGUUGUAAGAGAAGAACGAGUGUGAGAGUGGAAAGUUCACACUGUGACGGUAUCUUACCAGAAAGGGACGGCUAACUACGUGCCAGCAGCCGCGGUAAUACGUAGGUCCCGAGCGUUGUCCGGAUUUAUUGGGCGUAAAGCGAGCGCAGGCGGUUAGAUAAGUCUGAAGUUAAAGGCUGUGGCUUAACCAUAGUAGGCUUUGGAAACUGUUUAACUUGAGUGCAAGAGGGGAGAGUGGAAUUCCAUGUGUAGCGGUGAAAUGCGUAGAUAUAUGGAGGAACACCGGUGGCGAAAGCGGCUCUCUGGCUUGUAACUGACGCUGAGGCUCGAAAGCGUGGGGAGCAAACAGGAUUAGAUACCCUGGUAGUCCACGCUGUAAACGAUGAGUGCUAGGUGUUAGACCCUUUCCGGGGUUUAGUGCCGUAGCUAACGCAUUAAGCACUCCGCCUGGGGAGUACGACCGCAAGGUUGAAACUCAAAGGAAUUGACGGGGGCCCGCACAAGCGGUGGAGCAUGUGGUUUAAUUCGAAGCAACGCGAAGAACCUUACCAGGUCUUGACAUCCCUCUGACCGCUCUAGAGAUAGAGUUUUCCUUCGGGACAGAGGUGACAGGUGGUGCAUGGUUGUCGUCAGCUCGUGUCGUGAGAUGUUGGGUUAAGUCCCGCAACGAGCGCAACCCCUAUUGUUAGUUGCCAUCAUUUAGUUGGGCACUCUAGCGAGACUGCCGGUAAUAAACCGGAGGAAGGUGGGGAUGACGUCAAAUCAUCAUGCCCCUUAUGACCUGGGCUACACACGUGCUACAAUGGCUGGUACAACGAGUCGCAAGCCGGUGACGGCAAGCUAAUCUCUUAAAGCCAGUCUCAGUUCGGAUUGUAGGCUGCAACUCGCCUACAUGAAGUCGGAAUCGCUAGUAAUCGCGGAUCAGCACGCCGCGGUGAAUACGUUCCCGGGCCUUGUACACACCGCCCGUCACACCACGAGAGUUUGUAACACCCGAAGUCGGUGAGGUAACCGUAAGGAGCCAGCCGCCUAAGGUGGGAUAGAUGAUUGGGGUGAAGUCGUAACAAGGUAGCCGUAUCGGAAGGUGCGGCUGGAUCACCU